rnacentral:rRNA from 1 species
UCGGGAAUUUUGGGCAAUGGGCGAAAGCCUGACCCAGCAACGCCGCGUGAGGGAUGAAGUAUUUCGGUAUGUAAACCUCGAAAGAAUGGGAAGAAUAAAUGACGGUACCAUUUAUAAGCUCCGGCUAACUACGUGCCAGCGGCCGCGGUAAUACGUAGGGAGCAAGCGUUGUUCGGAUUUACUGGGCGUAAAGGGCGCGUAGGCGGCGCGGUAAGUCACUUGUAAAAUCUCUGAGCUUAACUCAGAACGGCCAAGUGAUACUGCUGUGCUAGAGUGCGGAAGAGGCAACCGGAAUUCUUGGUGUAGCGGUGAAAUGCGUAGAUAUCAAGAGGAACACCUGAGGCGAAGGCGGGUUGCUGGGCCGACACUGACGCUGAUGCGCGAAAGCCAGGGG